AGAGUUUGAUCAUGGCUCAGGACGAACGCUGGCGGCGUGCUUAACACAUGCAAGUCACGGGGGCUCGCAAGAGCAACCGGCGAACGGGUGCGUAACACGUGAACAACCUGCCCUCGUGUGGGGGAUAGCCGGGCUAACGCCCGGGUAAUACCGCAUACGUUCUUCUGGGGGAGUCCCUGGGAGAGGAAAGCUCCGGCGCACGGGGAGGGGUUCGCGGCCUAUCAGCUCGUUGGCGGGGUAAUGGCCCACCAAGGCGACGACGGGUAGCUGGUCUGAGAGGAUGCCAGCCACAUUGGGACUGAGAGACGGCCCAGACUCCUACGGGAGGCAGCAGUGGGGAAUCUUGCGCAAUGGCCGAAAGGCUGACGCAGCGACGCCGCGUGUGGGAGGACGCCUUUCGGGGUGUAAACCACUGUUGCCCGGGACGAACAGGCUCAUUCGUGAGCUCUGACGGUACCGGGUGAGGAAGCACCGGCUAACUCCGUGCCAGCAGCCGCGGUAAUACGGAGGGUGCGAGCGUUGUCCGGAAUCAUUGGGCGUAAAGGGCGCGUAGGUGGCCCGGUCAGUUCGUGGUGAAAGCGCGGGGCUCAACCCUGCGUCGGCCAUGAAUACUGCCGCGGCUGGAGCACUGUAGAGGCAGGCGGAAUUCCGGGUGUAGCGGUGGAAUGCGUAGAGAUCCGGAAGAACACCGGUGGCGAAGGCGGCCUGCUGGGCAGUUGCUGACACUGAGGCGCGACAGCGUGGGGAGCAAACAGGAUUAGAUACCCUAGUAGUCC
rnacentral:rRNA from 1 species